AUUGAACGCUGGCGGCAGGCCUAACACAUGCAAGUCGAGCGAGCGGCGGACGGGUGAGUAAUGUGUGGGAAACUGCCUGAUGGAGGGGGAUAACUACUGGAAACGGUAGCUAAUACCGCAUACUAUCAGAUGAGCCUAGGUCGGAUUAGCGAGUUGGUGGGGUAAAGGCCUACCAAGGCGACGAUCCGUAAAUGGUCUGAGAGGAUGAUCAGGCAAACUGGAACUGAGACACGGUCCAGACUCCUACGGGAGGCAGCAGUGGGGAAUAUUGCACAAUGGGCGCAAGCCUGAUGCAGCCAUGCCGCGUGUGUGAAGAAGGCCUUCGGGUUGUAAAGCACUUUCAGCGGGGAGGCGUUACCCGCAGAAGAAGCACCGGCUAACUCCGUGCCAGCAGCCGCGGUAAUUC
rnacentral:rRNA from 1 species